rnacentral:rRNA from 1 species
ACGAACGCUGGCGGCGUGCCUAACACAUGCAAGUCAACUUGACUGAAGGAGCAAUCUGACAGUAGAGUGGCGCAAGGGUGCGUAACGCGUAAGUAACUUGCCCCAAGGUAAGGAAUAACGUCGAGAAAUCGGCGCUAAUACCUCAUAAUGCAGCGGAUCCGCAUGGAUAUGUUGUUAAAGGUUUACCGCCUUGGGAUAGGCUUGCGUCUGAUUAGUUAGUUGGUGUGGUAACGGCACACCAAGGCUACGAUCAGUAACUGGUCUGAGAGGAUGUUCAGUCACACUGGAACUGAGACACGGUCCAGACUCCUACGGGAGGCAGCAGUGAGGAAUAUUGGGCAAUGCUCGAAAGAGUGACCCAGCAACGCCGCGUGGAGGAUGAAGGUAUUCUAUAUCGUAAACUCCUGUGAGAGCAGACGAAAGACAGAUUAUUAAUCUGGAUGACUGUAUGCUCAGAGGAAGCCCCGGCUAACUACGUG